UGGGAGUGACUUAGGAAAAUUCUUAUUUUUAUUUUUUGUUUUUUCUUCUUUUAUUUUUUAUUUUUUAAUUAUUAGUUUUAAUUGCAUGUUUUUUGUGUGCGUGAACUUGUAGAAAUACAAGUGAUUGGUUAGGAGUAUAUACCUAGGUUGUUUGUUUAAAUUGUAAAUUUAGCCUGAAAUUGAAUAACUUAGGUUUUAUAUAUUUAAAC
rnacentral:lncRNA from 1 species